UUGUGACCCACACAUCCAGCAACAGAUCCAAAAGCAGCUGGAGGCAAAGCUGGAGCGUAAAGGCAUAACUUCUUUUAAGGUCAGCUGGAAGUCGUCUGGGAAAGUUUCAGAAAAGGGGAAAAUGACACUGUGUCUGCCACCAGUCGAAGGUGAAGCAUGAGGAAGCAACCGGUGGAGGAUUUCCAGCUGUUAACCUGCCGGCUGAAGGACCUGCAGCCACUUUAGUUUAGAUUCAUGAUUGUAUUUAGUCUUCACUUAGAGUUUAAGCAUACAUUAAUUGGUGUGAUGACUGACUGAGGCUUCUAGAUGAGGUUUCUGUGGUGUAAUUCUAUCAUAGGACUAACUUGAGUUCGAGAUGAGGAAAGACAAAAGAAACAUAAGCAGUCCUGCCAUAAAACAUUAUUUAAAAUUAACAAUAUUUUAAGGUUGUCUAUGUAUUACAGUUAUCUAAGGAGUUUGCUUAUUUAAUCU